rnacentral:lncRNA from 1 species
AAAUGAUGAAGACAUUAGGCAAAUUGUAUUAAGUGAAAGUGGUGGAUAUGCCUGAAUUCUGUGUUUAUUACCACAGGGAUAAUUCAGCUUCAGACUACAGUCUUCAUUGUGUUUGUUUACCAAGUGGGAGGGCCAGGUUAGUACAGAUGUGCUUUUAACUUUUAAGUCACCUAAGAAAAAACAGGGGUGCUAUUCUUCAGGACCAGGAGGGUAAAUUAAGAUAGUUAUUUUAUUUCUCUUCUCAUUCAAUCCAAUGAAUCUGUCUAAUUUUAGUUUCAUAGAUGGAGAAAUAAAUAUUAUCACAGGAAAAAUGACUCCAAAAGGUAAACGGCAUCACUACCCAAAACAUCCACACACACGUUUAAAUCUGUGGGUAGAAUUUGAACAUUAUGAAGCACAGAGGAGCUUUCAAAACUUCUAGAGCAUCUAAAGGAUGCUUUACAUGUUCAUAUCUCAAUCAAUUUUUCUAUGAGUUUUUGAAACAGGUGGCUUUAAAGGUCAAAUCGGGUGGCUUUUAGGAAGUCAAAUUAGCCACUAGGAGUUUUUUAAUGUCCCAGAAAAUUCCAACAGCUUCCUUUGAGCAAGUUCUUGAGGCUCCAAAAACUUUAAACCAGCUGACCCAGCUAAAUGAAUUUGUUGAAGGAACCCAGACCACUCUGAGUUCCUACAGCAUAUUAUCAUUGCUGACAAGGAUGGGCCCAUCCAGCUCCCACACUCUGCAAGGGUCAGGGGUGGGGCAGAAGCCGCCAGAAGCAAGGAGAAAGUAGGAAGAAAUUCCCUCCAAAAAAUGCCCACAUCAUAUUACAAUCUAGUCUCAGUCCUCCAGACUGUUGGCAGAAGAUGCUAAAGGCUAUGGUUUGAUUAUGGCCCCUAAAGUCUAUGUGUUGGCAAUUUAUUGCCCAAUGCAACUAUGUUGAAAG